rnacentral:tRNA from 2 species
UGUCGGGGUGGCCCAGCCUGGUACGGCGUUGGACUGCUAAUCCAAUGAUCCCUUGGAUCUCGCGGGUUCAAAUCCCGUCCCCGGCGU